rnacentral:tRNA from 1 species
AGGCCUAUAGCUUAGAGGAUUAGAGCACAUGGUUAUGAACCAUGGUGUCAAGGGUUCAAAUCCCUCCUCACCCA